rnacentral:tRNA from 1 species
GGUUGUGGCUCAAUGGUAGAGUGCUCGCCUAGCACAUGCGAGGUGCUGGGUUUGAUCCUCAACACCA